GAAACAACAGAUGCUGAAGUGGAUGUGGAAAAGUAGGAAACACUUUUAUACUGUUGGUGGGAGUGUGAAUUAGUUCAACAAUUGUGGAAGAUAGUGUGAUGAUUCCUGAAGGAUCUAAAACUAGAAAUAUCAUUUGACCCAGCAAUCCCAUUAUUGGAUAUAUACCCAAAGGAUUAUAAAUCAUUCUGUUAUAAAGAUACAUGCACAUGCGUAUUUAUUACAGUACUGUUCACAAUCGCAAAGACUUAGAAACAACCCAAAUGCCCAUUAAUGAUAGACUGUAUAAAGAAGAUGUGGAUAGAAAGUUUAUUCAAAGGGAUAAUAAUAAAGAAAUUCCCAAACCUAAGGAAAGACAUUAAUAUCCAAGUACAAGAAGCUUGUAAAACACAAAGCAGAUUGAACCCAAAGAUUAUCUCAAGGCAUUUAAUAGUCAAACUCUCAAAGGUCAAGAAUAAAGAAAGGGUUUUAAAAGCACCAAGAGAAAAGAAACAAAUAACAUACAAUAGAGCUCCAAUACCUCUGGCAGCAGACUUUUCAGUGAAAAUCCUUACAGGACAGGAAAGAGUGGCAUGAUGUAUUUAAAGUACUGCAGGAAAAAAAUUUACCUUAGAAUACUAUAGCCAGUGAAAAUGUAUUUCAUACAUGAAGGAGAUAUAAAGAUUUUCCAAGACCAACAAAAACUGUGGGAUUUCACCAACACCAGAUCAUCCUACAAGAAAUGAUAGAAUUCUGCAAUCAGAAAGGAAAGGACAUUCAUGAGCAUUAAGAAAUAAUCUGAAGAUACAAAACUCGCUGGUAAUAAUAAGUCUAUAGAAAAAUGCAAAAUAUUAUAACACUAUAAUAGUAGUGUGUAAACUACUCUUACCUCAAAUAGACAAAAAUAUGAAACAAUCAAAAAUAAUAACUAUGACGUAUGACAACUUUUCAAGACAUAGACAGUAUAGUAAGAUAUAAAUGGAAAAAAACCAAAUUUUAGAAGCAGAGAGACGAAGUUACAGUGUAGAGUUUUCAUUAGUUUUCCUAUUGCUUUUUUGUUCAUGCAAUCAGUGUUAAGUUGACAUCAGUUUAAAAUAAUGGGUUUUAAGAUAGUAUUUUCAGGCCUUAUGGUAAUCUCAAAUCAAAAAACAUACAGUAGAUACACAAACAGUGAAAAGCAACAAAUUAAAAGAGACCUUCCAGAUAUAAAAUCAACAAUGAAACGUUGGACUUUAUCUGCACUAUAGAUCAAAUUAUCUAACAUAUAUUUACAAGAAAAAAAAUCACUUUUACUAAAAGGAAGACAUGAAGGAAAGGAAAAAGAAAUUGAAGACCACAAAACAGCAUUCUUGUCCUUAGCAUUUGGUUCAUUCUCAAUGAUAAAGCAAAUAUUAGGCUACAAAAUGUGUCUUAAAACAUUCAAAAAAUUGAAAUAACAUCAAGAAUCUUCUGUGACCACAAUGGAAUAAAAGCAGAAAUCAAAAACAAGAACAAUUUUGGAAACUAUACAAACACAUGGAUAUUAAACAUUAUGCUCCUGAAUGACCAGUGGAUCAAAGAAGAAAUUAAGAAGGAAAUGGAAAAUAUUUUUGAAACAAGUAAAAAUGGAUCGCGACAUAUCUAAACUAACGGGAUGCAGUGAGAGCAGUCCUAAUAGGGAAGUUUAUAAGCCACCACAUAAAAAAAAUAAAUAAAUAAAUACUUCAAUAAACAAUUUAAUGAUGCAUCUUGAAGAACUAGGAGGGCAAGAGCAAACCAAACCGAAAAUUAGCAGAAGCAUAGAAAUAAUAAAGAGCAGAAAUACAUGAAAAUGAAAUGAAGAAAACAAUA